GUAAAGGUAAAGGGACCCCUGUCCGUUAGGUCCCGUCGUGACCGACUCGGGGGUUGCGGCGCUCAUCUCGCUUUACUGGCCGAGGGAGCCGGCGUUUGUCCGCAGACAGCUUCCGGGUCAUGUGGCCAGCAGGACUAAGCCGCUUCUGGCAAACCAGAGCAGCGCACGGAAACGCCGUUUACCUUCCCGCUGGAGCGGUACCUAUUUAUCUACUUGCACUUUGUGCUUUCGAACUGCUAGCUUGGCAGGAGUAGGACAGUGCUUACCCUCAAACUUACAAUCUAAAAGGCAUGACACAAGUGGAAAUGUGGAAGUGGAGGGAAGAGGAAAGAAGGAAGUUCAGAUAUGUGCAUAUGAAUCUGCUGGGGAAGGUGAAUAGCAGGAUUGUUAACAGGGACUGGGAGUAUGGUCAUAUGGUGUCAAAUUUUUGCAUGGCCGUCUCCACUGGCUACCAGUCCAUAAAAAUGCU